UACGUAGGGUGCAAGCGUUUGUCCGGAAUUAUUGGGCGUAAAGAGCUCGUAGGCGGUUUGUCGCGUCUGCUGUGAAAACGCGAGGCUCAACCUCGCGCCUGCAGUGGGUACGGGCAGACUAGAGUGCGGUAGGGGAGAUUGGAAUUCCUGGUGUAGCGGUGGAAUGCGUAGAGAUCCGGAAGAACACCGGUGGCGAAGGCGGCCUGCUGGGCUAUGGCUGACACUGAGGCGCGACAGCGUGGGGAGCAAACAGG
rnacentral:rRNA from 1 species